rnacentral:rRNA from 1 species
AAAUUGAAGAGUUUGAUCAUGGCUCAGAUUGAACGCUGGCGGCAGGCCUAACACAUGCAAGUCGAACGGUAACAGGAAGAAGCUUGCUUCUUUGCUGACGAGUGGCGGACGGGUGAGUAAUGUCUGGGAAACUGCCUGAUGGAGGGGGAUAACUACUGGAAACGGUAGCUAAUACCGCAUAACGUCGCAAGACCAAAGAGGGGGACCUUCGGGCCUCUUGCCAUCGGAUGUGCCCAGAUGGGAUUAGCUAGUAGGUGGGGUAACGGCUCACCUAGGCGACGAUCCCUAGCUGGUCUGAGAGGAUGACCAGCCACACUGGAACUGAGACACGGUCCAGACUCCUACGGGAGGCAGCAGUGGGGAAUAUUGCACAAUGGGCGCAAGCCUGAUGCAGCAACGCCGCGUGAAUGAAGAAGGCCUUCGGGUUGUAAAGUUCUUUCAGCGGGGACGAAGGGAGUAAAGUUAAUACCUUUGCUCAUUGACGGUACCCGAAGAAGAAGCCACGGCUAACUACGUGCCAGCAGCCGCGGUAAUACGUAGGUGGCAAGCGUUAUCCGGAAUUACUGGGCGUAAAGGGCGCGUAGGCGGGUUGGUAAGUCAGAUGUGAAAUCCCGGGGCUCAACCUGGGAACUGCAUUUGAAACUGGCAAGCUUGAGUGUCGGAGAGGUAAGUGGAAUUCCUAGUGUAGCGGUGAAAUGCGUAGAUAUUAGGAGGAACACCAGUGGCGAAGGCGGCUUACUGGACGAUAACUGACGCUGAGGCGCGAAAGCGUGGGGAGCAAACAGGAUUAGAUACCCUGGUAGUCCACGCCGUAAACGAUGUCGACUUGGAGGUUGUGCCCUUGAGGCGUGGCUUCCGGAGCUAACGCGUUAAGUCGACCGCCUGGGGAGUACGGCCGCAAGGUUAAAACUCAAAUGAAUUGACGGGGGCCCGCACAAGCGGUGGAGCAUGUGGUUUAAUUCGAUGCAACGCGAAGAACCUUACCUGGUCUUGACAUCCACGGAAGUUUUCAGAGAUGAGAAUGUGCCUUCGGGAACCGUGAGACAGGUGCUGCAUGGCUGUCGUCAGCUCGUGUUGUGAAAUGUUGGGUUAAGUCCCGCAACGAGCGCAACCCUUAUCCUUUGUUGCCAGCGGUCCGGCCGGGAACUCAAAGGAGACUGCCAGUGAUAAACUGGAGGAAGGUGGGGAUGACGUCAAGUCAUCAUGGCCCUUACGACCAGGGCUACACACGUGCUACAAUGGCGCAUACAAAGAGAAGCGACCUCGCGAGAGCAAGCGGACCUCAUAAAGUGCGUCGUAGUCCGGAUUGGAGUCUGCAACUCGACUCCAUGAAGUCGGAAUCGCUAGUAAUCGUGGAUCAGAAUGCCACGGUGAAUACGUUCCCGGGCCUUGUACACACCGCCCGUCACACCAUGGGAGUGGGUUGCAAAAGAAGUAGGUAGCUUAACCUUCGGGAGGGCGCUUACCACUUUGUGAUUCAUGACUGGGGUGAAGUCGUAACAAGGUAACCGUAGGGGAACCUGCGGUUGGAUCACCUCCUUA